AUGUGCUUCCAUAGCACCUUCAUGCCUGGGACGCCGAAGAUUUCAAUCCUGGGUUGCUGUCAUGGUGGUGAUGAGUCUCAGAAAUCUCAGAACCAUGGAGCCUGCAUGUGGCUAAGAGCUUGGGCUCUAACCUCAGAGUCUGAACCCCUAUUUUUGCCUAAGGCAAGAAGAAUGAAUUGGAAGAGCAGUACCAGAAAAAUGCAGCUUACUCGUCAUUUGCCAGAACUGAGUCACGAGGGCCACCUCUACCUGCAGGGCGAUCUGAGAAGGUACGUUCGCUUUCUUGCAUCUCUAAAAAGGGAAAGAGAAUGGAAAUCAAUGUUGGAAUGA
rnacentral:lncRNA from 1 species